GAUGAAGAACGCAGCGAAAUGCGAUAAGUAAUGUGAAUUGCAGAAUUCAGUGGAUCAUCGAAUCUUUGAACGCACCUUGCGCCCUUUGGCCAUUCCGAAGGGCAUGCCUGUUUGAGUAUCAUGAACACCUCAACUCUCAUGGCUCGCCAUGAUGAGCUUGGAUUUGGGGGUCUUGCUGGCCUGUGGUCGGCUCCUCUCAAAUGGAUCAGCUUGCCAGUGUUUGGUGGCAUCACAGGUGUGAUAACUAUCUGCGCUUGUGGUUUUCCAUCAGAUAACCUUCAGUGAUGGAGGUUCGCUGGAGCUCAUAAACGUCUCCCCUAAGCGGGGACAGCCCUUUGAAUGUUUGAUCUCAAAUCAGGUAGGACUACCCGCUGAACUUAAGCAUAUCAAUAAGCGGAGGA
rnacentral:misc_RNA from 1 species